AGAAAUACUAACUCAAAGAGGAUUACUUUGGAAAAAAUCUGCUCUCUGAAACAUCUCCUACAUAGCCUGCUUUGGAUAUGUACAGCAUGACAUUAACGGAACACUUCAAGCACCAUGAUCUCUACAGCGUACUGGUUGGUGCAGGUAGUGUCCAGGCACUACGAUCAAUAUAAAUGCUGAAACCUCAGUCUGCCAGGUGCCUCUUCAUGCCUCCUCUACAACCUACAAAGAACCGG